GGCGGCUUUUCCGGCGUCGACUGAGGUCAUUUUGUAAACUCGGCUGUGUUCACAGGCGGGGAACUUCGCAACGCUGUGAAGGCCAGAGGUCAGGGAGCCAGGAAGGCGCGGUGCCCGCUUCUCUGAGCUUCGUCUGAGGCUCGGCGUGGGCACUAUCCGGCCUGACUCUGUCUUGGGCGGUUGGUGCCGCAGUGCCCGGGCCCCACCUUCACCCACAAACUCCGCUGGCGCCGGCGCAGAUGUGUCUGAUUCAGGGCCCUGUGACCUUUGAGGACGUGGCUGUGUACUUUUCCCAGGAGGAAGAAAGCUUCUUGAUGAGGCCCAGAGAUUCCUGUACCGUGAUGUGAUCCUGGAGCCCUUUGCACUUGUUGCAUCAUUGGUUUGUUGGUAUGGAGCAGAGCACAAGGAGAUAACUUCUGAGCAGAAUGUUUCUGUAGAAGUGCCAUGAAUAUACUUCAGAGACCUGUCCAUCCAAAGUCCUGUCCCUGCAAGAUGUGUAGCCUGGCCUUAAACAGAGUAGAGGAAGGCCUUCAAAGCUGGAGACCAGGGCUG
rnacentral:lncRNA from 1 species